rnacentral:rRNA from 1 species
GAUGAACGCUGGCGGCGUGCCUAAUACAUGCAAGUCGAGCGAACAGACGAGGAGCUUGCUCCUCUGACGUUAGCGGCGGACGGGUGAGUAACACGUGGAUAACCUACCUAUAAGACUGGGAUAACUUCGGGAAACCGGAGCUAAUACCGGAUAAUAUAUUGAACCGCAUGGUUCAAUAGUGAAAGACGGUUUUGCUGUCACUUAUAGAUGGAUCCGCGCCGCAUUAGCUAGUUGUUAAGGUAACGGCUUACCAAGGCAACGAUGCGUAGCCGACCUGAGAGGGUGAUCGGCCACCUGGGAAGUGAGACACGGUCCAGACUCCUAAGGGAGGCAGCAGUAGGGAAUCUUCCGCAAUGGGCGAAAGCCUGACGGAGCAACGCCGCGUGAGUGAUGAAGGUCUUCGGAUCGUAAAACUCUGUUAUUAGGGAAGAACAAAUGUGUAAGUAACUAUGCACGUCUUGACGGUACCUAAUCAGAAAGCCACGGCUAACUACGUG